ACGGAAACAUGUGUGGCGAAAAUGAAAUUAUAAAACUUCAUUAUGGCUACGGUAAAAAAAAUCCAGUGGAUCGUGUCUACUUCUACGACAAAAGGAGCCCUAACAUUGCCAAGCAUUUAACUCCAGAUGUAUCCAUUAUCCUACCAAGCAGUUUUCAGGUAAAGUUUCGCCGUGUGAUAAAAAAAGAUGAAGCUUAAGAAUAACCGUAUCGGAAAUAAACCAGUAGUUCAGCAAUCUGUGGAGACAACCGUACAGCUGGACAUCCAGACCACGACAAGACCUUGGCUAAUCAAGAUUGACCAUGGUUUGUGAAAGUAUUGCCAUCCACCAUGGAAUAACAACGUCUGCACCUACUUAAUGAUCGGUUUAUUUAGUAUAGUAUACUUGAUACAUGAACAUACAUGAUCAGGAGGGAUCUGACAUUACGAUAUCAACUUCAGAAUCAAAUACAGAAGUGAAUCAAUAUAUGUGUCAAGGCAUUGUAUAUGUAAACCACUUGCGUGAUCGUGUGAGUUUAUUUGCAUGUUAUAACAACAGUCAAAUGCAAUUACAUAAACUGGUGUAUAGUGUUGUAAUAUGUUAUAUUAUUGUACUGUUAUGACUUAUAAAUCCAAGCAUUUCUGGUGAGGUGCUGGUGUAGUAUUUGUAGCUGCCCAGUCUUUGUUACAACACUGCUAUGAACACUUUAAUAGGUUUAUGUUAGAACAAAGCUUCAACAAUGCUGCUGUGGCCAACAGCGUACAUGUAUUGUAAACAUUAGCUUCUAAGUACGCGCAGUUCGCGAACGGAUAACCGCAUACAAGAGGAAAGCAAAAAACUCUAAACAUUUCGUUAUCAAUAUGCCUGACGACUUGAUUAAAAGAUUAGUCAAACAUAAGGUUAAAAUAAAUCCUUUAUAAUGUUCAAAACAGUCAGGAUUCCCUUUGUUAAAAAGAGCAUAUAUUUAUGAAGAAGGGAACAGCUAUGACCGCGUAUUAAAACAAACUUCCAUUCUACUUCCCAUUACAUGACUUAUUAGCCAGAAGUGUGUAUGUGUUAGUGGUUUGUAUAUAGAAUCAAGAGUUCUAAGAGUGGAUAUGCUAGAACUGAAAAUUGAAUGAAUUAAAUUGAAUUCUAAUUCAAAGUUGUAUUAUUGGCACCAUGAGCGUAGUGAUUUUACCGUUACAUAAUAAAAAAAAAAUAAUAAUAAUAAUUUAGGAACUUUUUUUUUUUUCUUUUUUAGUGGAACAUAAGAAAUUUAAGGAAGCUGCAAUAGAGACCAUCAGGCCUACACGUGACAGUCCUUGUGUGAACAAAAGUACCCAAAUUAACCCAUCAUCCUCACCCAUAAAUUUGUCUAAUGAUUUUAAAGCUCCGUUUUGUCUCAGCAUUAACAUCAUGACUACUGAGCCUGUUCCAUUUAUCAAAAAAUCUGUCAGAGAACCAGCUUCUUCCCACUUCCUUAAGGUUUACCUUAAUUUCUCUAGAUUGUUCCGGUCAUAUUUGGUUCUUUCCUGGCUACUGAUUCUAAGAGUUUUUCUCAUUUUCCCCUUCAUUAUAGCCCCUAUAACACUUAAAUACUUCUAUCAUGUCGCCUCUUUACCUGCAUCUCAAAUGAAUGCAAAUUUGUAUUUUCAGUCUUUCUUUUUAGACGUUUUCUUUUACACUGAUUCCAAUAGAUCCUUAUUCUUCCUACAUUGUGGGCCAGAACUGUACAGCAUAAUCUGACCGGCGCCAUAAAUAUAACUUUGGAAGUUAACCUUUUAACACUUUUAAAAACUGAAGUCACAUCCAAUAUGUGUUUGAAUCUGAAUCCUUUGUAUUCAUCCCAAUCUUUGUGUGUGUGUGUGUGUGUGUGUGUGUGUGUGUGUGUGUGUGUGUGUGUGUGUGUGUGUGUGAUAGUUCGUAAAUACGAAUCUUUUGUGGGAGCAAAUGACAUUUUCGUUAUUUAAAUAUUUAUCCUUGAUAUUUUCAGUUUUGCUUUCUUCCGUAACAGCCAUGCGGCUGUUAAAUUAUAGGCUACAAUACUUUGUUGUUUACUUUUUGGUACACGCGGUGAUAUUUCUCUUGUUAAAGGUGUCUGACGUAGAAUUGUAGUAUUGCAGUAUUCAAAGUGAAAUAUUUUUUUUCUUUAAAUUUCUUUCUUUCUCUGUUUAUCAUACAGUUUUUACUGUAUUUCUGUUAAUAAAGCAUACCAAAAGUCUGAAAAAAACGGCUUGUCUGCGGGAACAACUAUAUCGUAUUUGUAUGCCAGUUCUCUUCAAACGUUCAAUUUAUAAUGCUUGUUACAUAUCUAUCAUUUGAUUAUAUAAAAGUCAUCCAGUAUUUAUGCUAUAUUUAUUAAUGUGUGUGUUUUUUAUGCAAUAAAGGAUGCUGGCUAAGAGCAACAAAAAUAGAA